rnacentral:rRNA from 1 species
UGGGGAAUAUUGGACAAUGGGCGCAAGCCUGAUCCAGCAAUGCCGCGUGUGUGAAGAAGGCCUGAGGGUUGUAAAGCACUUUCGGUGGGGAGAACGAGGCUGUUGCUAAUAUCAACGGCGGAAGAUGUUACCCACAGAAGAAGCACCGGCUAACUCUGUGCC